GUGCCCAAAAUCAAUCAAAUGAUCCCGGACCAGAGUGAAUCUGUCAUGUUGGUGUCGUCUGCUGUUCCGACCAAGUCGCCUCCUGUUACCUCUGUGUGGGUGGGUCUGAACAGAAGAGUGUGGUACUGGCAGGCAAACCGAGCUCCUCUGGCCAGUGUGAAUGAACGUCUGAUGCCCAGAUGCUGCUUUUAAUUUGAAGGCACACUCUCUGGUUUCCCGGCCACUGUUGUGGCUAACUGCAGCAGCUUGAUGCAGCAGGUCACGACGACUCAGAAGGAACCAGGUCACGGCAGCGAACAUUCCUGCCAAUCCAGGCCCGCUGCCUGUCAGCCCGUCAUUCUUCACACGGCGUCAGAACAAGCAGGGCAAGGCGAGCGCGUUCAGCAGCGGCUACAUGUGUUUCAGAGGUUACCACACCAAACUGCAGAGAGAAAUCCGCCAGUAGCUGAAUCCUGCUAUGAUAUCUCACAAAGAAGCUUGGACCCAAACGCAGAACUCUCAUGCACAGAAGACGGG